GAUGAACGCUGGCGGCGUGCCUAAUACAUGCAAGUCGAGCGAACAGACGAGGAGCUUGCUCCUCUGACGUUAGCGGCGGACGGGUGAGUAACACGUGGAUAACCUACCUAUAAGACUGGGAUAACUUCGGGAAACCGGAGCUAAUACCGGAGAAUAUAUUGAACCGCAGGGGGCAAUAGUGAAAGACGGUUUUGCUGUCACUUAUAGAGGGAUCCGCGCCGCAUUAGCUAGUUGGUAAGGUAACGGCUUACCAAGGCAACGAUGCGUAGCCGACCUGAGAGGGUGAUCGGCCACCCUGGAACUGAGACACGGUCCAGACUCCUACGGGAGGCCGCAGUAGGGAAUCUUCCGCAAUGGGCGAAAGCCUGACGGAGCAACGCCGCGUGAGUGAUGAAGGUCUUCGGAUCGUAAAACUCUGUUAUUAGGGAAGAACAAAUGUGUAAGUAACUAUGCACGUCUUGACGGUACCUAAUCAGAAAGCCACGGCUAACUACGUG
rnacentral:rRNA from 1 species